GCCCGAUUAGCUCAGCUGGUUAGAGCGUCGUACUAAUAUUGAGUUUCGUCACAAGAGUCAAUAUCGAGUCCAUGCGAAGGUCAACAGUUCAAUCCUGUUAUUGGGCA